AGCUAUAUAUUAAAGAGAUUUAUUUAUAUAAAUAGGUUUGCUAGCUGAUUGUAUAUAUACGCAGGCCAAUGCUUCUAAUUUCAUAGCAAGCUCGCUUGCUAUGAAAUAGGCAACCAGUAAUAUAAGCAAGUGUGUGCUAUUUAUAGCGCUAGCCUACAAACCUAUAAUUAUAUUAACUCUAAGAGAAAUUUAAUAAUAAACGAAGUGAAUUGAAAUAUCUUAGUAACUUUAGGAAAAGAAAUCAAAAGAGAUUCUAUGAUUAGCGUGAGCUAAAAUAGACUAGCCUAAAAAGUCAAAUGGUGGAUAAACUGUUUAAAUUAAAUGGGGAACCUUCCUCAAAGGCUAAAUAUAAUAUAUAAGCGAUAGUGGAAAGUACCGUGAGGGAACCAAAACAAAAACAGUGAUUUUAUAAGCAGUUCGGGAAAAUAAAAAAAAAGUUAGAACGUACCUUUUGCAUAAUGGGUCACCAAGUUAACAUUAGAUGCGAGUAGGAGGGAGCUUUAUAAAAAAAAAUAUAUUUUUUUUUAUAGCCCCGUGUAUACGUAGUUAAACCGAGCGUUAAAAUAACGGUAAGUAUCUAAAGUUAGACCCGAAGCCUGGUGAUUUUACCAUAAUCAGGAUUAUAAAAGUCCGAACGGAAUAUUGUAGCAUAAAUAUCCGAAGAAUUAUGGUAGGUGUAGUGAAAGACAAUACUGACCAGGAUAGCUGGUUUUCUGCGAAACCUAUAACAGUAGGCAAUUUAAGUAUAAUAUCUUAGCAGGUACAGAAUUUAAUCUCAGACAAGACAUAAGGCUUAGCUUGCUAGCAAGUAAAGCUCAUGUUUUAUUUUGUACAAAUUGGGGGAUCAUGAAGAUUUUAUCAGUGAGUAUGUAGACUCGGAAUGGCAAAGAUAUAUCUUAAAUCAUCAGACAUAGAAUGAUAAGGUUGUAUGUCAAAAGGGAAACAGCCCAGAACAAGAGUUAAGGUUCCUAAAUUAUUAGUUGAGUGAAAUUAAGAAGGUUUUUAUUAAAGUCGACAAGGAGAUAGGCUUAGAAGCAGCCAUAAUUUUAUGACCUCGUAACAGAGCGCUUGUUAAGUUUUAAAAGCAUCGAAAAUUUAUCGGAUCUAAACAAUAUACCGAAACCUUGUCCAUAUUAUUUUAUAAUUAAAGCUUAAUUAUAAUUAAAUGGGGUAGCAGAACGUUGAGCUAAAUUAAGAUUUUUAUUUUUUAAAUGAAAUUAUAAUAAUUUAACUCAAGUGAUAAUGGUGACAUGAGUAACUAAAAGAAAAAAUAAAAUUUUUCCGCCUAAAGCUUAUGGAUGUAAUUAAGUAACGGCCUCUAAGUUUAUAUUAUCUAAAGAUUUAAACGAUGAGAUAAUCUUUUGUACUAAGGACGACAUUUUAAGUGGAAAAUGUACUGGAAAAAUAGUACUAAAUUAAUGGCUAUAGCUAAUUAGGGCUAUAUAAAAAAAUAUAUUUUUUUUUAUAUAGCUCGCUAUAGCUAUAAAUGAAAAGUAACCGUACCUAGAAUCUGAAACAAGUAAGCUAGUAGAGAAUACGAAGGCGUAAAUGAGCUAACAAUCAUAAAGGAACUCGGCAAAUUGACUACCGUAACUUCGGGAUAAGGAGAGCUCAUUAUUCUUGAUUAAUAUCAGGUAAAGAGGAAGAAGCAUGAAAUAGUGUUGUACGACUGUUUAAUUAAAACACAGCACUUUGCUGAAAGAUUAAAAAUCUAAGUAUAGAGUGUGAUGUCUGCCCGGUGCCGGCUGGUUAACAGAUAUAAUUAAAUAUACUAAUAUUUGAUGUAGACGGAAACCCCGGUUAAAGGCGGCCUUAACGUGAGGGUCCUAAGGUAGCGAAAUGCCUUGGCCGUUAAAUGCGGUCUUGCAUGAAUGAUGUAACGAUACAACAGCUGUCUCUAUGAUUGACUCAGUGAAAUUGGAAUAGCUGUGCAGAUACAGUUUACCUCUAGUUAGACGAGAAGACCCUAUGCAGCUUUACUGUCACUAAUUAUAGAGUAUGAUAAACAAUUUUCAGAUUAUAAGGUAAUUGACGGCUAGCUUGUUCAGCAAGCUAGCUCUAUGACAAUGAGAAUCCUUUAUUUUUUUUUCAUAUGAAUGAAUUGGUUUAGGAUUAUGAGUAGGUAGCUGCUUCUGCUACUUGGCGCAAGCAUUGCUUGCGUCAGGUGUCUGAAGUAUGCAUUCCAGCUCAUGCAUAGUAAAUCAACCUAAUUCAGCUUAUUUUCCUUUCUGCCAUAAGCGCAUAAUGAUAGAUUUAACUUAAAUUUUGAUUUAGGCCGAGCCCCUCCGGGGCUACUGCAGAAAUAGAUAAGUACCCUUGGCUAAGGAACUAUCGCUAGGGGACAGUUUAUGUGGGGCACAGACCCUGUAAAGAGUAAACAGGAGUGUCUAAUAAUUUAUAAUUAUUUUGUUUGCGAUUUAAGAUAGUGAAACUAUUUUUAAUCAUAUAAAAUUAUUUAUAUGUACAUUCGUUGUAUAUAUAUUUAAAAAAAGGUAGGAUUUUCACUAUAUAGAAAUUAGAGAUAAUAAAAAUAUUAAGAAUAUACGUUUCAGGUAGCACUAAUAUUUUUUAGCUAUUAAGACAGGCUAUCAAGCUAGGCUCUAAUAGUUAUGUAUUAAUUAUCUAAAAAGCUCAACGGCUAAAUCUUGCCUUACUGUUUGAUUAUCAACAAAUCUUACAGUUGCGUAAGCAGGGCAUAGGAUCACAAGAUGCAACAAGGAAAGAUCUUGGAUUAUUGGAAAAGCUACGCUAGGGAUAACAGGCUAAUUUGCGCAAGAGUGUACAAAAUGAGUGCGCGGUUUGGCACCUCGAUGUCGGCUUAACUUAUCCUCAUGGAUGCAGGAACUAUGUAGGGUGCGACUGUUCGUCGAUUAAAAAGUUACAUGAGCUGGGUUAAAUACGUCGUGAGACAGUAUGGUUUCUAUCUUCUAGGGGGAAUUAGAAUAUAAUAAGAACUAACUUUUGUACGAAAGGAACAAGAAGAAUUUAAUUUGUAAAAGGGUUAAAUAAUAGUUACUAACCUAUGGUUUACCUGUUGUCUAUGUGCCCAAAUAUUAAAAUAUAUAUGGAGGAAGCUCCUUAAGAGCUUCCCCCGCAAAUUAUAUAUAUCUGUAUAGCUAGCCUGCGGACUCCGGUUAUGCCUGAGUUUGGCAAGCUAAAGCUAUACAUAGGGAUGUUUCUUUCACUAAGAUAAAUAUAUAGCAUAGGCACGGCAGGAAAGCUAAGUUGGUUAAGGAUAAGUGCUGAAAGCAUAUAGGCACGAAGCUUAUCUUAAGAUAUUUCUUAAAUAUACGUAAAAUAUUAUUACGAAGGAUGUAAUAUAGGCUUUAUCCGUACGAAUCUGGAGAUUUUUAAGAAUAAAGUACUAAUUUUAUAAAUAACUAUUUAU
rnacentral:rRNA from 1 species